rnacentral:misc_RNA from 1 species
UAAAAAAAAAAAAAAAAAACUACUGCCUUAUUAUGAAUUACUGAAAGGAGAGAUUGUGUGUAUUUUUGGAAUUGGAAGUUAAAGUAAUCUGCAGUUUUUGCAAAAGAAAUAACCAGAACAAUUGAUUUUCCCCAAUGGAUUUUUGAACUAACGAAAGAAGUUCUGACAUAGGGUAACAAACAUGUCACUGGUACCUGCAACCAGCUUUAAUUCUCUUAUCAUAUAUGUUAGUUUUCUCCUUCCUUAGGGAAUAGGGUCAGGCUACUGAAUUUUCAAUGAACAAUGGCCUAUAGAUGAACUAUAACUCCACAAGCCAAAUGGAUUUUAUACAAGCAUGGUAAGAGGGAUCAAUAAAUGCACUUCUUUCAUUCCUAGAGAAAAUUUAACAGGGUAAAGGAGAACUAUUGCAAGUCAUAAGUCUUGCUAUUUGGCAGUUCAUCAAUUAUCAUCGUAUAAGAUUGAUGAGCUCGGCUGAGUUAGCAAGUAUGUAUGUUUUGACUCAUUUUCUAGUCCUUUAACUUACCUGUUGCUUGGGCUAGGGUUAGGACUUUACUUGAUUAUCAAGUGGCUUCAGAUUAGAAUUCAUUUUUUUCAAAAUGAAAAAGACGGGCGACUUAUAGUGUUACAAGCAUUCUCCAAAUGUAUUCUUCUGAUGACUUGCAACAAUAUGAAGCAACAAUAAAAGAAAAGUGAAAGAAGAGGGGGGACGGGAAAAGCAGACUACAAGGGGGUAGUAGGAGUUUUGUCCUUGAACAUAUUCACUUGUAAUCUUUCAUGGUCUAUGAUUGACAACAAAGGCUAAACUAAUGGUGAUGACGCAUCAAAUGUACUCUGAAGGCUGCAUCAGAGGAUGCAAAGGUGGGAGUUUUGAAGAAUGAAUAGAUUGAUAUAUGCAUGAAUGCCAAAAGCUACUUGCUGAAACUGCAUUCUCAGAGCCUAUGUAUAGAUGCGUGGAAAGUAAGGGGAAAGGAACAUAACUUGAUGAAAAUAAUGAGAGAAUGACACUUUUUUUUUUGGGCUUGGGAAGAGAGGGGAAAAUUAAGAGAGAAUGUGAAAUAACCCUUGUUUUCCUCUUGUUAUUUUCUCUCCAAAUCGGAGAGAAAGUAAGAUUUCAGAGAGGAAAGUGGGAUCUCUACAUAUGAAAUUACUUAACUUUCCUUCCAUUUAUAUUCUUCUUUUUCUGCCUGAUGAUAACAAAUGAAACCCUCUACCAAAAAU